rnacentral:rRNA from 1 species
UACAGAGGGUGCGAGCGUUAAUCGGAAUUACUGGGCGUAAAGCGCGCGUAGGCGGCUUUGCAAGUCGGGUGUGAAAUCCCCAGGCCUAACCUGGGAACUGCAUUCGAGACUGCAUGGCUAGAGUAUCGGAGAGGGAAGUGGAAUUUCAGGUGUAGCGGUGAAAUGCGUAGAUAUCUGAAGGAACAUCAGUGGCGAAGGCGGCUCACUGGCCCGGUACUGACGCUGAGACGCGAAAGCGUGGGGAGCGAACAGG